CGUCUGUUCGCGGCUCCGUCACGCCACCACGAGUCAUCGUCGCCGUCUGCUUCCGAAGCUUUUGGGAGGAGCUGAGGAGGAGGAGAAUGGGAAUCUCCGAAGAAGGACAUCACUAUACCGGGAGGUGAGUGAGAUUCAGUCGGUGGUGAGCUGAACUGAUACUGUAGACCAUGAUCGGAAGGUCGUAUGCCUUGGGAGAAUGAUUUUCCGGCGAAGAUGAAGACGAAUGAAACAGUGAACGUGAAGAUAGACGACGAUCUAACGCGGUUUAAGGGAAGAGCCAUGUGAGGGAGAGAGUUCUUUUUUUUUUUCAUGUGUAUUUUUCUCUUUAAAUUAUGUAGAUGAUGUUGAUGAGCUCAAACGACACCGUUUGUUAUGUGGGUUCAUAAAUGGUUAGGUGUGACAUACCACCACCAAGUCACCAACUCUUAAUCGACAAGAUUAGGUCAUGAUGUUCUUUUUGUUUCCUUCAUUAACAAGAAAUCAAGAUUUGCAACAAAAAAAGUAAAAAACACUCAUCUCAUUUUGACUAAUUUACUUCUGGAUUCAAUAUUGAGUUCUUUAGUUUAAUAUAAGUACUACAUGUUCAAAUUUCACAAUAUAACGUUUCUCUAUUGUGAUAUGUGAGUAAAAGAACUUGUAGAAGAUGAAUUAGAUAGCAAAAACCCAAAUAUCAAUAUCUAGUUUCAUUAAUAUGCCUUAUAGACUAAAACGUCACAAGAUCCAUCCACGGGACGAGGCCCACUAAUAUACUCUCCAUUAGCUACUCUGAACAUUAAUACUCCCUCAUGUCAGAUUACCAAAUGUUUGAAGAGUAUUGAGAAGUUAGUUCACAAAGCGUUUUGAUGUCAAGCAGAACUUGUAGGAACAUCCUCAUCAGAAGGAGGCUGCAUUGGUCUUUUAGCUCGAGGUGGUGGUUGUGGCUUUGGUGGCGGUGGUGGUGGUCUCUUUGGUUUCACCUUAUUGACUUCCUCAGAUUCAACUUCAAACUGUACGAUGACAGAAACAGUGCGUUAAGAAGAAGAAAAAAUUGCAAAAUCAUCAAAAUGAGGGUUGAAACAUGGAUAUCAAACCUUGUAACCACAGCCUGCGACACAUGCAUGAAAGCAUUCCUGAGUUGUAUAAAACAGGGGACAUAUAUAAAAAAAGUUAGAUACAGUACAGUUCUUCAGUCUACUACUACUCUGUUUAAGAAAAAGGUUUUUGUUUCAAAUACCUCAGAGUAGCUGGCAGCUCCAGGAGAACGAUCUAUAUAAGCACUCCAUUGUCGGUCUUUUAGCACAGGAUCUUUGUAGCAUAUCUCACUGCAAUCUGACACACCUAUAAAGAGCACACACUAUUACACCAAUUCAUUAAGUAGGAAAUAAAAACCUAUACAAAGAGGAGGAGAUGCCUUCAUGAACAUAUAUAAUGUAAUGUAAGAGACACGUUUGGUUUUAUAAAGUUGCAUAGUGAGGAUAGAUGUAUCUCUACUCCUCAGUUCAUUAACAAUUUCAUCACGGAUUUUCAGAGAUUAGAGAGAAAUGGCUUACAAUCUUCCCAUGAGUCACUAUCGGCAUCACAUCCCUUUUUGCAGAAUACUCUCCCUACAACACGGAUUCAGGGUAAUCAUCAGAGCCUAAACUGAUGAUAAGGCGUAAAAAGGGUUUCUAUAAUCCUGAAAGAGAGUGCUAUUUCAACUAGCUUCUCUGAUGGUGAAUGGAAUUGAGAGAUAAAAAACGUAAAACUCUCAUCAGAAACGUCCAAAGCAAGUCGUUUUACUAAAGUCCAGAGAAUCAACAUCGAUGCGGAAGCAUCUUUACUACACUUGUUCAACUUAUCUUCCUCUCCUAUUAACCAUUUUCACAUAUAUAUGAGCUUGAAGAACUCUGCAUAAUCCCCCUUAUACUCGAUGGAGACAUGCCACAUUCUAUAAUAUAUAUUAUUAACCAAGAAGCAAGACGGUGUUCUUUUAACACUUGCAACUACUACAAUGAGUUUUCUCUGGACCAAUCUUCAUCUAACCAAAGAAGUGAUCAUCCUCCAAACCUCUCAGUAAAGUAGUAUGAUCGCUAACAACAAUUGAUUAGGCUUAAUAACCUGACAAUAACAUUUCCCCAAACAAAAAUGUAGACCAAUGAACUUCCUUCUGAAUCUAACAUUAUCCAGAAAUUAGAAACCUAAUCCACAUAUCAAAAUCGAUUUCAAAUAAUUUACCAGAUUAACAGCGAUUGUAAUCAUUUCAUAGCUAAACCAUCCAAACAAAUGAGCCAACAAUGGAGAUACAUACAUGGAAUCUGCGUAAGAGCUGCAUACUUAUGCGUGCAUUGACUCCCACACGGUGGCGUCCAUUGCUGCGGUAUCAUCUCUCUCUCCGAAGCAAAAAAAAAAAACAAAACAUAAAACUCUUCAGAAUAAAGCAAAGCGCUCUUCAUAUUUUUAAAAAUAAAAAUAAAAACAAUUCGUGUAAUAUACAAGUAAGGUAAAAAUCAUAUUUAAAAAAAAUCAAAAUCCAAUUUUCUACUUUAAAUCGUUGCAGGGUAAGUAAGUUCGAUGGUUUUUUCUUUGCGAUACCUAAAGAAGUAAACCAAAGUGAAAACCACAAGAAGCGCAACACCGGAGACGCCACAGAUGAUACUGGCCGCAAGAAACACGUGCCUCAUCACGUGAUCACGCUUGUUCGCAGCUCCGUCACGCCACCACGAGUCAUCGUCGCCGUCUGCUUCCGAAGCUUUUGGGAGGAGCUGAGGAGGAGGAGAAUGGGAAUCUCCGAAAAAGGACAUCACUAUACCGGGAGGUGAGUGAGAUUCAGUCGGUGGUGAGCUGAACUGAUACUGUAGACCAUGAUCGGAAGGUCGUAUGCCUUGGGAGAAUGAUUUUCCGGCGAAGAUGAAGACGAAUGAAACAGUGAACGUGAAGAUAGACGACGAUCUAACGCGGUUUAAGGGAAGAGCCAUGUGAGGGAGAGAGUUCUUUUUUUUUUUCAUGUGUAUUUUUCUC
rnacentral:lncRNA from 1 species